rnacentral:ncRNA from 1 species
UAAAAGUUUUUUUGCUUUUGGGUUUCAGAAAAACUUGAGUUAAAUGCAAGUUUAGGCAUAAAAUAGGGUUAAGUUUAAAUAGUUUAGUUAAAUUGGGUUAAUUUGGCAGUUAUUAGUAUUAUAUAUUCGGGGGGCCGAGAUAUAGUGGGGAUUACAGUAUAAACAAAAUUUGUGCCAGCAGUUGCGGUUAUACAAAUUAUGCAAUGAAAGUUUAUUGGGAGCAGUUAAAUUAUGCAAUUAAAUAUAGGAAAAAGAAAAUUUUAUUAGGUGAAAUUUUAAAAUUUUAUAAAUCUAUCAAAGAAGAAUGAGGCUGGGAAAUUUUAUAAAAGACUAGGAUUAGAUACCCUAUUAUAAAAAUUAAAAUGUGAAGCCUAAAUUAUUAGUAGUUAAGUUCUUGAAAAUUAAGAAAGAUGGCGGUAUUUUAGUCUAUUCAGAGGAAUCUGUCCUGUAAUUGAUAUUCCACGAUUUAAAUUACUUAGAUUUUUAGCUUAUAUAUCGCUGUAGGUUGAAUAUUUCUGCUGAAUUUUAAUGUUCACGAUUUUUAAUGAAAGAAAAUCAAGUCAAGAUGUAGCUUAUAUCUAAGCAGAGAUGGAUUACAUUAUUUCUAUAUGUGGUUAGUUACUUGAAAAGGUUUCUAUAAAAUGGAUUUGAAGGUAAUUUUUUACUAAAAUUUUAAAAAUGAUUUUAGCUCUAAAAUAUGUACAUAUCGCCCGUCGCUUUCACUAUAAAGUGGAAUAAGUCGUAACAUAGUAGAUGUACUGGAAAGUGUUUCUAGAAGACA